rnacentral:lncRNA from 1 species
AAAAAUAAAGACUAUGUUACUGGCUUUCAACCACCACAAGGUAUUUGAUUUUACUUUAUCUAACAAUAGUGGUAUAGAACUUUGACGAUUCUGAAAUAACUUAUCAUUCCGUUCUUUCCAUAAAACCGAGACACACUGAAACCAAAUCAAAUGAAAUAAGGAUCGACGCGAUUUCAAGCCACCUGCAUAUUCAAUAAAUUGCACAAAAUGAUCUCAGAUAGCAUGAGAAUCUACCCCUUCGACACCAAGCCAAGCCCGCACCAAAGGUGUAACGCCCUCUUUAAUUAUUUAAUUAUUUUAUAGAGUUUAGAGUCCACUUUAUACGAUUUAUGUGAUUUAUUAAGUGGCUUAUUAUAUUAUUUAAUAGAAUAAGAUUAGAAAAUAAAAUAAAUAUUGAGAUGUCGGGCUGUUUUGGAAUUUAGUGGAAAUAGAGGAAAUAAGAUAAAGUUGAUUGAGGAGAGAUAUAAGGAGUAAACUAGGUUUAGAAAAGUUUUUACGUGACACUGCUUUUUGGAGAAAAAGGGAGAAAACAAGAGAAGAGGAGAACCAAGAGGGAGAGAGACCGCCGAUCAUCAAUACUAAGGUAAGGGUGGGACUAACCUUCACUAAUUCUAAGUGUAUGAUUCUGAAAAUUGAAUUUAACAUGUGUAGAUUGUAGUUUUGUGAAUUCGGGAAUUAGGGUUUGAAACUAAAAUUGAUUGUAUGAAGAUAGAUGAUCUGAUGUAUUAGGUUGUAUAAUUCUAAAACAGGGUUUAACAUGGUUGUUGUUGUUGUUUGAUUUUGAUGAUUAAAGAAGUUAGGGUUUUUGAAAAGAAAUAGUAACGGUGAUGUAGCUCAUGAAAACAAUAUCAGAAAACACUAAAUGUUUAGCAGAUCAAUCUAGUGUAUUCACAUACUGUGUUAAACCUGUGUAGUUUGAUUGUGCUGGAAUAUGGGGGAAAGCUUCAUAAUGUGCUUAGGAGUAUUAUAUAUAUAGUUUGUAGUGUUAGCCGUUUGAAAAAGAAAGGGGAAUAGGUAUAGAUAUACGUACCGUAGAAAACAAAGUAACAUGGUAGACAAAUUAGUGAAGCUAAAAAAGAAUUAAACAAAAUGUAGUGACAUUUUAGCAUAUAUGUAUGAAACCCUUGACUUAUAAUCUGCUUGUGAUGUUGGCACCGGAAAUUAAUAAUAGAAACGAAUAUCUUCAAGCAAUUCUAGACUGUUGGUGAGUAGGAAAACUACUACAUCUGCAAAUCUUCAAAUUGUUAAUUGUACAACUGAUUGUUUCAUGAGAUGCUAGGAGUUAGAAUAUAAAGUAUAUCAUGCCAAAGUUUCAGUAGUUACUACGAACAGAAAUUUAUAUGUAUUAAUACUCUUAUAUUUCUACAAUCUAGUGACUUCUUAUGAAUCCAUUUAUUAUAUGAAUACUCUAAAAAGAAUAUGAUAUCAUGAGCUUACCUUUAAUUGUAUUAGAAUUUUUAGAACUGAUCUUGUUGUCAAGAUGUCAUAGGGUUAUAAAAAAAUGAAUAAGUAGAAACUAGUAUAGCUAUAAACACGAGGAUUUAAUGUGCAAUGUUGAGUGAAGUUAAUUGAUGAUUUGAUGUUGUAUAUUGUGAUAUAAUUGUAUAUGCAUUAAUUGAAUUAUAUGUGAAUAAUUGAGACGUUGAUUGACUUGCAUUUGAUAUUAUUAUGUCAUGCUGGUUUUAUAUACUGCUGUGUCGCUGUCGUUAUUUAACUAAGCUGCAUGAGUCGGUCUAAGUUGAUUAAGAUGAUGAAGUUCCAAAUUAUUGGAUUAUAUAAGAGGUUGUCGAUUUAAGAUGUUUAAGAGGUCGAGUCCAUGCAUUAGCAUUACAUUGUUGGGGGCUUGAUGCCCUGGAGCCUUUGCUCACUUAAGUUGAGGGCUUGAUGCCCUGGAGCCUAUUUACGCUCAAACACGUUGAGGGCUUGAUGCCCUGGAUUGGUACCACAUGCAUAUAGAAGGUCUAAGUUGCAUAGUCAAUGUUGGAGUCGCAUUUGUCGAGUCAAAGAUGUUUAUGUUGAUAAGUUGUGAAGUUGUAAUUGUUUAUACAAACUAUGAUUGAAGUGUUAAAUGAUAUAUUUUUAUCUAUAAUGAAUGUUAAGAUAAUUUGAUGUUGAUUAAAUAUAACUGUUGAGUUAUAUGGCUUAUUAUUAUUGAAUGUGAAAUCUCACCCCUUCUGCUUGGGAAUGUUGCUCUUCGUAUGAGUAACUUGCAGGUGAUCGUUAAUAGGUUGCUGGUGUUGCUGUCGUGAGUGACUUAUUCCUCACUGAGUCUUAGGAUGCUCUGAUACGUAACGGGAUGGGAUCUUUUGUGGCUAUUUUUUAUUCCUUUACGUAUUGGUUAUGUUUUUAAUUUGGAUACUUUAAGAGAUGUUUUAGUGAGGCCUGCAUGCCAAAGACUUAUCUAUGUUAAUGAAUUUACUCCGCUGCAAAGUUGAAUUAAUAUGUUGAUGAUUUUUGGAAAGAUAAUUAGUUAAUUAUCUCAUUUAUGAUUUUUAAGAAGUGUAGCAUUCCGUUAUUUAUUGAAUACUCUGAUAAUUGUUGUGAAAUUUUUAUGUUGGGAAAACGGGGUGUUACAAAAGGCCACAAUGCACCAAAAAUUGGACAAGACAAAAAUAAAUGAUUCACAUCUUCAACUUGCCCACAUCCCGAUACACAAAACCGAUUUUCCACAGAUAUAAUCCCACGUGCCACCAAAUUUGAUUUAGUAGGUAAACGAUCCCUCAGCAGUCGCCAAGCAAGGAUAGAAACUUUUAAGGGAACCUGUUUAUGCCAAAUUAACUCCAUAUAUUUGAUGAACAUGAGGUUGUUCCUGUGAUGUCAACAAGUCAUAUACACCACG